UACGUAGGGGGCAAGCGUUAUCCGGAUUUACUGGGUGUAAAGGGAGCGUAGGCGGUGAUGCAAGUCAGAAGUGAAAACCCGGGGCUCAACCCCGCGGAUUGCUUUUGAGACUGUGUUGCUGGAGUACAGGAGGGGCAGGCGGAAUUCCUGGUGUAGCGGUGAAAUGCGUAGAUAUCAGGAGGAACACCGGUGGCGAAGGCGGCCUGCUGGACUGUAACUGACGCUGAGGCUCGAAGGCGUGGGGAGCAAACAGG
rnacentral:rRNA from 1 species